AAAGAAUUAGUUAAAAAUUAACAUAAAUAUGUCAAAUUUAAAUUAUUAGAUAAUCUAAUAUUCUUUU
rnacentral:tRNA from 1 species